AUGGAUCGCCUACAUAGGCAGCGAUGCCCUGGCGAUCUAUGCCCUCGCCACCCUCUUCGCCACAAGCAUCCGACAACGAUGAUGCCGCCUGGGGAGGGUGGUGGUGGCACCACCUCCACAGCCGCCACCGCACUGGAGGUCACGUGGGUGCCUGUCCUGCUCAUCCGCCUCGCCGGCCAUCCAAUGAUAAGUGCCUACAGCCUCGAGGACAAUGAGUUAUGGAAGCGGCAUGCCAUAACCUUUGUGUCUCAAGUCAUGGUUGCCUUAUACGUCUUCUGCAAGUGGUGGUCUGGCGAGAAGAGACUGCUGCAGGCAGCAGUUCUGCUAUUCAUCGUUGGCAUCCUUAAAUUUGGCCAGAAGCCAUGGGCCCUCAAGACGGCCAGCUUCAACAACAUGCUGGACUCCAUUCCUAUGACGCUGCGCGAAGGUAAAGGAGAAGAAAGAGACCUUACCCUCGAAGAAUAUGUUCAUAAAGCAAAGGGGGGUGUGCUGGACAUGAAAGAAACAGUGAGCCAAGAGGUAAUAACCAUUAGCAAUAAGCUGCUCAACUAUGUAUGGCAGCUUGCAUCGUCACUCCUUGCAGGUGCAGAGGCCGGGGGCUUGCCUCUUUUCAAAGAUAAAAAAAUGUUCGCCGACAUGUCUGCUCCAUACUCUGUUCGGCUGAAGGAGCUGCAAUAUUUCAUGAAGCUUGACGACAAGGACGCUCAUGAUAUGUUGCAGCGGUGCCUCGCAGAUACAUUUGAGCAUCUGUACAGCAGAAUGAGAUCAGUGUACAAGCCUCUUAGUGCCUUCUUACGGACGCCGAUUCCGUCCUUGUGCAUAGCCUCCGUGGUGCUCCUGGCUAAGAGCAACAUGGAUGGUUAUGACAAGAACGAUGUUAGGGUGACAUACAUCCUCUACUGUGGCUGUCUUCUCAUGGAGUUCUUGCCUGCAAUCUUAACCAGCUUCUACCUACCUUUCCAAUGUUGCCGUCCAAUGUUCUCACGCAGAUAG
rnacentral:rRNA from 1 species